GAUGAACGCUGGCGGCGUGCCUAAUACAUGCAAGUCGAGCGAACAGACGAGGAGCUUGCUCCUCUGACGUUAGCGGCGGACGGGUGAGUAACACGUGGAUAACCUACCUAUAAGACUGGGAUAACUUCGGGAAACCGGAGCUAAUACCGGAUAAUAUAUUGAACCGCAUGGUUCAAUAGUGAAAGACGGUUUUGCUGUCACUUAUAGAUGGAUCCGCGCCGCAUUAGCUAGUUGGUAAGGUAACGGCUUACCAAGGCGACGAUGCGUAGCCGACCUGAGAGGGUGAUCGGCCACACUGGAACUGAGACACGGUCCAGACUCCUAAGGGAGGCAGCAGUAGGGAAUCUUCCGCAAUGGGCGAAAGACUGACGGAGCAACGCCGCGUGAGUGAUGAAGGUCUUCGGAUCGUAAAACUCUGUUAUUAGGGAAGAACAAAUGUGUAAGUAACUAUGCACGUCUUGACGGUACCUAAUCAGAAAGCCACGGCUAACUACGUG
rnacentral:rRNA from 1 species